GGUACGUGGACACACACGAAGUUAAUGACGGAUAAUUGAUUUAUGUUUGUUUUGCUGCAAACAC
ensembl:ncRNA T21B6.15 ncRNA